rnacentral:miRNA from 1 species
AAUGAGCUCAUUUUGAGAACUU